GACGAACGCUGGCGGCGUGCCUAAUACAUGCAAGUUGAGCGAUGAAGAUUGGUGCUUGCACCAAUUUGAAGAGCAGCGAACGGGUGAGUAACGCGUGGGGAAUCUGCCUUUGAGCGGGGGACAACAUUUGGAAACGAAUGCUAAUACCGCAUAACAACUUUAAACAUAAGUUUUAAGUUUGAAAGAUGCAAUUGCAUCACUCAAAGAUGAUUCCGCGUUGUAUUAGCUAGUUGGUGAGGUAAAGGCUCACCAAGGCGAUGAUACAUAGCCGACCUGAGAGGGUGAUCGGCCACAUUGGGACUGAGACACGGCCCAAACUCCUACGGGAGGCAGCAGUAGGGAAUCUUCGGCAAUGGACGAAAGUCUGACCGAGCAACGCCGCGUGAGUGAAGAAGGUUUUCGGAUCGUAAAACUCUGUUGGUAGAGAAGAACGUUGGUGAGAGUGGAAAGCUCAUCAAGUGACGGUAACUACCCAGAAAGGGACGGCUAACUACGUG
rnacentral:rRNA from 1 species